GCAGUAACCCAGAUGGUUGCGCACAAUGUGUGAGGAAAGUCCGGGCUCCAUAGGACAGGAUGCAAGCUAACGGCUUGUGGAGGCGACUCUAAGGAAAGUGCAACAGAAAGAUACCGCCUGCUUUUGCAGGUAAGGGUGGAAAGGCGAGGUAAGAGCUCACCCGCCUGUAUGGUGACAUACGGGCGCUGUAAACCCCAUCCGGAGCAACGCUUGAAUGGGAGGCUAAGCUGGUCCGGCAUCUCCCGAAAGGGCGGCUUGAGGCGUCUGGCGACAGGCGUCCCAGAUAGAUGACCAUCCACGACAGAACCCGGCUUACGGUUUGCUGCCAAC
rnacentral:RNase_P_RNA from 1 species